rnacentral:rRNA from 1 species
UACAGAGGGUGCGAGCGUUGUUCGGAAUUAUUGGGCGUAAAGGGCGCGUAGGCGGUGCGGUAAGUCACCUGUGAAAUCUCCUGGCUCAACUGGGAGCUUGCAGGCGAAACUGCCGUGCUGGAGUGUGGGAGAGGUGCGUGGAAUUCCUGGUGUAGCGGUGAAAUGCGUAGAUAUCUGGAGGAACACCGGUGGCGAAGGCGGCAUCCUGGACCGGUAUUGACGCUGAGGCGCGACAGCGUGGGGAGCAAACAGG